CGAUUCCCAACUGGCGCUGCCCCUCCCCAGCAGCCUCUUUGUAUAUAGCUCUCAAUCUGAACACACCCCAUGAUUGGCACACAAAACAGAACUAGCCUGGGGCUCUUCAUACAGAGCUGCCAUUACCUGCCCCAGACACACCUUGAGAUUAGGAAGAAAAGAGGUUAGUUUGUAUGAGUGUACUGUAGCUGUAGAGCAGGAAUAUUAACCCUCCUCUCCCCUCUCCCCACCCUUCAUACUGUAUCUUCGCAAACAAAGAGUCCUUAAUACCGGACACAUCACCAACAGCCCCUUCCCAUGGACAGGCGGUGUCUGGCCAAGUGUCUGUCUGAAAAUAAAAUUAAAAAUGGUCAGUCAGCAAGUCUGAUGAAGUAUUGAUAUAGAGGCUGUAAUAGUAGGUCAGGUUCUGGAAAAGAACAGGCAAAGUGUAGGAAUAGUGCAAGGUCAGAAGGCAGGCGAAGGUCAGGACACAUACCAAGGUCGGGAGACAGGCGAAGGUCAGGACACAUACAAAGGUUCGGGAGACAGGUGAAGGUCAGGAAGUAGGCAACGGUCGGUCGGGAGACAGACGAAGGUCUAGAGACAGGCAAGAGUUUAACAAGGAAUUAAUGAUGAACAGGCACAAACAUGGAAGCUUUGCUUUAGAAUGUAAAUUAGUUUGAGUAGGGUCUUAAGCACCUUCUGUUCCCAUACAUCCAACUUGC